AUUGAACGCUGGCGGCAUGCCUUACACAUGCAAGUCGAACGGCAGCACGGGAGCAAUCCUGGUGGCGAGUGGCGAACGGGUGAGUAAUACAUCGGAACGUGCCCAGUAGUGGGGGAUAGCCCGGCGAAAGCCGGAUUAAUACCGCAUACGACCUACGGGUGAAAGCGGGGGAUCGCAAGACCUCGCGCUAUUGGAGCGGCCGAUGUCAGAUUAGCUAGUUGGUGGGGUAAAGGCCUACCAAGGCGACGAUCUGUAGCUGGUCUGAGAGGACGACCAGCCACACUGGGACUGAGACACGGCCCAGACUCCUACGGGAGGCAGCAGUGGGGAAUUUUGGACAAUGGGGGCAACCCUGAUCCAGCCAUGCCGCGUGCGGGAAGAAGGCCUUCGGGUUGUAAACCGCUUUUGUCAGGGAAGAAACGCUCUGGGCUAAUACCCCGGAGUAAUGACGGUACCUGAAGAAUAAGCACCGGCUAACUACGUGCCAGCCGCCGCGGUAAAAC
rnacentral:rRNA from 1 species